rnacentral:rRNA from 1 species
AUGGGCGGAAGCCUGAUGCAGCAACGCCGCGUGCGGGAUGACGGCCUUCGGGUUGUAAACCGCUUUCGCCUGUGACGAAGCGUGAGUGACGGUAAUGGGUAAAGAAGCACCGGCUAACUACGUGCCAGCAGCCGCGGUAAUA